UACAGAGGGCUCAAGCGUUGUCCGGAUUUACUGGGCGUAAAGAGCGCGCAGGCGGCCAAGUCAGUCGAAUGUGAAAGCCCCCGGCUUAACUGGGGAGGGUCAUUCGAUACUGCUCGGCUCGAAGACAGGAGAGGGAAGUGGAAUUCCCGGUGUAGUGGUGAAAUGCGUAGAUAUCGGGAGGAACACCAGUGGCGAAGGCGACUUUCUGGCCUGUUCUUGACGCUGAGGCGCGAAAGCUAGGGGAGCAAACGGG
rnacentral:rRNA from 1 species